UGACCGAGUGGUGGGCGGGGUUUAGUGAUCUCAUUUUGGGCAGGGGCUUAUGACUUCACAGGCUGUUUAUGAGGGUGACAGUUGUGAUGGAGUUGCAAUAAACUUGCCCAUACACGUGCCAAUAAAAUAGCUUGCCGGCCUACCAUAACCACCACACGGACGCACCAUGUACCCGGGAUAUCGGCAGCUGCAUCAAUUGUGUCGAUGAGGGAAUGAAAAGAUCCUCAGCUCCAAUUCACUUGCUGCUGUUCUGAUGAUUAGGUGCUGUCGGCCCAAAUGAACUGCACAGUAGAGAGAUGGUCAAACACCUGUUCGGCCACUUCAGAUACCAAACAUCAGACUGUGUGAGACCUCAAUUGUAAAAAACAAAACAAAAUCACCCCAUUGUGCCAGACACAUGGUGGGCAAAACUCAAAAAUCAGAAACAAUACAACAGAAAAUGAGCACGACGUAUGAACACUGUUCAUUUGAAAGCAGCUGUACAACACCAGAAAAAAACAGGCAAAGUAUCCAAAGUUUAGGCUCCCCCACAUUUCUUCGUAGCCCACAAGUUGGGCGUUAGCAGGGGCGUAACUACAGAGGAAGCAGAAGCGGGGCCCUGGCGGUAUAGUGGCCCUAGGAGGCCCUAAUUUAUAUACAAUUUCAAUAAAUUCUGGCAAAAUAAGUCAACCUCUAGGGGCCUGAAAAAUAAUUUGCUCUGGGACCCAGUAAUAUCUAGUUACGCCACUGGGAGUUAGUGCAAACAAAAAAAAAAAAUCUCCUCUAAUGAGUGCAAGAAUAAAGCCCAAGACUAAACUGAAAUCUGAGUCUUCUUUAUAAAGUAUUUCCCAGUAAGAAAGCAUUUAGGUGUAGACGAAUUGGGCCUAAUGGAAUAAAUGUUGCACUGGUCUAGUAGCAACCAAUCAGCAUGUAGCAUUUGCUGGUCAGCUGACUGUAAAGACACAUGUUAUUAGUUGCUAUGGGUUACUAGACCCAUAUAGUUCUGUAUUAAAAAUUUUUUUUUAAAUCC